CUUCUUGGAACAAUGUCCCACCACGGAGGAGCUCCCAAGGCCUCUACGUGGGUCGUUGCUAGUCGGCGAAGCUCGACGGUGUCCCGAGCGCCAGAGAGGAGGCCGGCGGAGGAGUUGAAUCGAACAGGUCCUGAGGGAUAUAGUGUCGGCAGAGGUGGUCGCUGGAGAGGCCCCUCUAGGCCCCCGGAGGCCGUGGCCGCUGGUCACGAGGAACUGCCGCUGUGUUUUGCUUUGAAGAGCCACUUUGUUGGCGCGGUAAUCGGUCGUGGUGGGUCAAAAAUAAAGAAUAUACAAAGUACAACAAACACCACAAUCCAAGUAAGCCAUCUGUGUUCUUCGGCCCUUAAGAGAGCAUCAUGCAUUUCUAAGGGAGCACCUGACUCUACUUUUCUUUUUAAGACAGCCUCAUUCUGUCUCCCAGGCUGGAGUGCAGUGACAUGAUAUCACUACAACCUCUGCCUCCUGGGUUCAAGCAAUUCUCCUGCUUCAGCCUCCUGAGUAGCUGGAAUUACAGGUUCCCACCACCAAGCCCAGCUAAUUUAUUUUAUUUUUUUUUUUAUUUUUAGU
rnacentral:sRNA from 1 species